rnacentral:rRNA from 1 species
CGUGUAGGCGGUUUGGUAAGUCUGAUGUGAAAGCCCUGGGCUCAACCCAGGAAGUGCAUUGGAUACUGUCAGACUUGAAUACGGGAGAGGGCAGUGGAAUUCCUAGUGUAGGAGUGAAAUCCGUAGAUAUUAGGAGGAACACCGGUGGCGAAGGCGGCUGCCUGGACCGAUAUUGACGCUGAGACGCGAAAGCGUGGGUAGCAAACA